rnacentral:lncRNA from 1 species
UGAAUUAUGCUGCUGUGAACGUUGUGUACAAGUUUUUGUGUGGACAUAUGCUGUAUUGCUUUUAUAAUAAGAAAAUAAAUAUUUUUAAAGCAGAAAAUUCAGGCCAUAGGAUACAUAUGUCAUUGUAGUAAUAGAUAAUUAUUUUCUCCUUCACAUUCCUGUUUGAACUAUUUCUUCUCGUAGCUUUCUAGUUUUGGAUCUUACAUUUAGGUCUUUGAUCCAUUUUGAGUUGAUAUUUGUAUAGGGUGAGAGGUGGGGGGUCUAGUUUCAUUUUUCUGCAUGUAGAUACUCACUUUUCCCAGCACCAUUUAUUAAGGAGGGUGUCCUUUCCCCAAUGUUCUUGGAGCCUUUGUCAAAAAUAAAUUGGCACUAGGUGCGAUGGCUCACACCUGUAGUCUCAGCACUUUGGGACACCAGGACAGGCGUCCCACUUGAGCCUGGGAGUUCAAGACCAUCCUGCGCAAUGUGGCAAAACCCCAUCUCUACAAAAAAUUAGCCAGGUGGUAGCAUGUACUUGUAGUUGCAGCUCCUCAGGAGGCUGAGGUGGGAAGAUCACCUGAAUCUGGGAGGUCAAGGAUGCAGUGAGCCGUGAUUGCAUCACUGUA